CAAAGGCAUGGUCCUGACCUUAUUAUCAGCUUUAACCCGACUUACACAUGCAAGUAUCCGCACCCCCGUGAGUAUGCCCACAAUCCCCCGCCCGGGGACAAGGAGCGGGCAUCAGGCACAAACUUUUAGCCCAAGACGCCUAGCCAAGCCACACCCCCAAGGGAAUUCAGCAGUGAUAAACAUUGAGCCAUGAGUGAAAACUCGACUCAGUCAGGGUUAACAGGGCCGGUAAAACUCGUGCCAGCCACCGCGGUUAAACGAGAGGCCCUAGUUGAUAAUAUUACGGCGUAAAGGGUGGUUAAGGAGAGUAAAAUGAAUAAAGCCGAAUGGCCCCUUGGCCGUCAUACGCUUCUAGGUGUCCGAAGCCCAAUCAAACGAAAGUAGCUUUAAUAAAAUUCACCCGACCCCACGAAAGCUGAGAAACAAACUGGGAUUAGAUACCCCACUAUGCUCAGCCAUAAACCCAGACAUUCUACUACAAUCAAAUGUCCGCCAGGGUACUACGAGCAUUAGCUUAAAACCCAAAGGACCUGACGGUGCCUUAGACCCCCCUAGAGGAGCCUGUUCUAGAACCGAUAACCCCCGUUAAACCUCACCACUUCUAGCCAUCCCAGCCUAUAUACCGCCGUCGCCAGCUUACCCUGUGAAGGUAAUAAAAGUAAGCAAAAUGGGCAUAGCCCAAAACGUCAGGUCGAGGUGUAGCGCACGGAGUGGAAAGAAAUGGGCUACAUUUUCUAUUAUUUAGAACACUACGAAUAUGCAACAUGAAAUAGUGCUUGAAGGAGGAUUUAGAAGUAAAAAGGAAACAGAGUGUCCUUUUGAACCCGGCUCUAAGGCGCGUACACACCGCCCGUCACUCUCCCCUGUCAACACGCAACAAAGAUAUAUAACACCAAAGCACUGACAAGGGGAGGCAAGUCGUAACAUGGUAAGUGUACCGGAAGGUGCACUUGGAUUAAA
rnacentral:ncRNA from 1 species